rnacentral:rRNA from 1 species
UACGGAGGAUGCGAGCGUUAUCCGGAUUUAUUGGGUUUAAAGGGUGCGCAGGCGGGAGAUUAAGUCGGCGGUGAAAUUUUGCAGCUCAACUGUAAAAGUGCCUUCGAAACUGGUUUCCUUGAGUGUAGAUGAAGUAGGCGGAAUUUGUGGUGUAGCGGUGAAAUGCUUAGAUAUCACGAGGAACUCCGAUUGCGCAGGCAGCUUACUAAACCACUACUGACGCUCAUGCACGAAGGCGUGGGGAGUCAAACAGGAUUAGAUACCCCGGUA